GAUUGAACGCUGGCGGCAGGCCUAACACAUGCAAGUCGAACGGUAACAGAAAGCAGCUUGCUGCUUUGCUGACGAGUGGCGGACGGGUGAGUAAUGUCUGGGAAACUGCCUGAUGGAGGGGGAUAACUACUGGAAACGGUAGCUAAUACCGCAUAACGUCGCAAGACCAAAGAGGGGGACCUUCGGGCCUCUUGCCAUCGGAUGUGCCCAGAUGGGAUUAGCUAGUAGGUGGGGUAACGGCUCACCUAGGCGACGAUCCCUAGCUGGUCUGAGAGGAUGACCAGCCACACUGGAACUGAGACACGGUCCAGACUCCUACGGGAGGCAGCAGUGGGGAAUAUUGCACAAUGGGCGCAAGCCUGAUGCAGCCAUGCCGCGUGUAUGAAGAAGGCCUUCGGGUUGUAAAGUACUUUCAGCGGGGAGGAAGGGAGUAAAGUUAAUACCUUUGCUCAUUGACGUUACCCGCAGAAGAAGCACCGGCUAACUCCGUG
rnacentral:rRNA from 1 species